AGAGUUUGAUCCUGGCUCAGGAUGAACGCUAGCGACAGGCUUAACACAUGCAAGUCGAGGGGCAGCGGGGGCGUAGCAAUAUGCCUGCCGGCGACCGGCGCACGGGUGAGUAACACGUAUGUAACCUGCCCUAUGCAGGGGGAUAACCCGGAGAAAUCCGGCCUAAUACCGCGUAACACCUUAGGGGAGCAUUCUCUUGAGGUUAAAGGAGAGAUCCGGCAUAGGAUGGACAUGCGUCGCAUUAGGUAGACGGCGGGGUAACGGCCCACCGUGCCGAAGAUGCGUAGGGGUUCUGAGAGGAAGGCCCCCCACACUGGUACUGAGACACGGACCAGACUCCUACGGGAGGCAGCAGUGAGGAAUAUUGGUCAAUGGCCGAGAGGCUGAACCAGCCAAGUCGCGUGAGGGAAGAAUGUCCUAAGGAUUGUAAACCUCUUUUGUCGGGGAGCAAAAAGGCUCUGCGGAGUCGUAUUGAGAGUACCCGAAGAAAAAGCAUCGGCUAACUCCGUGCCAGCAGCCGCGGUAAUACGGAGGAUGCGAGCGUUAUCCGGAUUUAUUGGGUUUAAAGGGUGCGCAGGCGGCGUGUCAAGCAAGCGGUAAAAUAGCGGGGCUCAACCCCGUCGAGCCGUUUGAACUGGCGCGCUUGAGUUCAGGCGAGGUAGGCGGAAUUCGUGGUGUAGCGGUGAAAUGCAUAGAUAUCACGAAGAACUCCGAUUGCGAAGGCAGCUUACCAGUCUGCGACUGACGCUCAGGCACGAAAGUGUGGGUAUCGAACAGGAUUAGAUACCCUGGUAGUCCACACAGUAAACGAUGAGCGCUAGGUGUCCGGGUCGCAUGAGACUUGGGUGCCCGAGCGAAAGCGUUAAGCGCUCCACCUGGGGAGUACGCCGGCAACGGUGAAACUCAAAGGAAUUGACGGGGGCCCGCACAAGCGGAGGAACAUGUGGUUUAAUUCGAUGAUACGCGAGGAACCUUACCCGGGCUCAAACGACUCAGGAAUAUAUUGGAAACGAUGUAGCCAGCAAUGGUCUGAGUCGAGGUGCUGCAUGGUUGUCGUCAGCUCGUGCCGUGAGGUGUCGGCUUAAGUGCCAUAACGAGCGCAACCCCUACCGCCAGUUGCCAACGGGUAAAGCCGGGAACUCUGGCGGGACUGCCGGCGCAAGCUGCGAGGAAGGCGGGGAUGACGUCAAAUCAGCACGGCCCUUACGUCCGGGGCGACACACGUGUUACAAUGGCAGGUACAGCGGGAAGCCACCUGGUGACAGGGAGCGGAACCCGAAAGCCUGUCUCAGUUCGGAUUGGAGUCUGCAACUCGACUCCAUGAAGCUGGAUUCGCUAGUAAUCGCGCAUCAGCCAUGGCGCGGUGAAUACGUUCCCGGGCCUUGUACUCACCGCCCGUCA
rnacentral:rRNA from 1 species